rnacentral:sRNA from 1 species
AUGUAAAAUCAAAUAAGUAUCCGUGGUUAAAUAUAUUUACCCGAUCAUUCCAUAAGUUUUUAUCGAACCCUUAAAUUCAAUAAUGUAACUAGUGACACAUACCAAAAAACGGUCACACAAGAUCUUAUAAAUUUAAGAGAUAUUAUUAGAAUAAGUAAAAUUUAUACGAAAAGUGAAAAUAGAUAUU